UAGAAAAUGGUGUAAAGGAAGCACGGAGAGUUUUGAUCUCUCAGGGAGGGGCUCGUAUCCCCUUUUUCUAA
rnacentral:tRNA from 1 species